UAUGUUUAUAUACACACACAUAUAUAUAAAUAUAUAUAUAUAUGUGUAUAUAUAUCACAAUAUUUUGAAUCAGUUUAAAAAUCAGAUUGGUGCUGAUAAAUAAGUAAGCAAAACGAAAGAGGAGGGAACGUGGAAGAAGGCUGAGACAUCGUAGAAGUAGCGCAAAAUAGGGGAUAGUCGAUAGAAGUAGAUCGUCGAAAUAUAUAUAUAUAUAUAUAUAUAUAUAUAUAUAUAUAUGUAUGUAUGUAUGUAUAUAUAUGUAUGUAUAUAUAUUAUAAACACUUCUACAUAUUUACGUGCAUACUGUGCAUAUGCAAGUAUAUACACAACACACAAUACACAUAGACAAACAGAUAACGCGUAAACAUGAAAAGACUAAAUUAAAAAAAAAGGUGUCCCAUAAAAGUCCACACAUCAUCGGGGAUGUUUAGAAAAAAAAAAAAAAAAUAUACGAAUCCACCACCACUUCUACCACCACCACCACCACCACCACUACCACUACCACCACCACCACCACCACCACCACCGGUAUAACAUUUCAUGGCAAUACUUAAAAUGAAAAUUUCAACGUACUAGAGAAUAGUCUUUUAAAUUUCUAAUUAAGACGUGUGAUCUCUCUAAUUAGUGUACUAUAUAUAUAUAUAUAUAACAUAUACAUAUAUAUAUAAUAUCUAUAUAUAUAUAUAAUAAUAAUAAUAAUGAUAUAUCUAUAUCUAGAUAACUCGAGAUGCAUAAGUAUAAUUACGAUUACGUAUAUUAGGCGUUCGACAGUUAGUCUUUUAUCAUUUAGACACAGAGAUCUGAAGAUGAUAAUUGUGCGGCCAUAUUCUCUGUGGCCUGUUCGUAGUGCCUCGGAAUUGCUGCUCGCGGCAGUGAUUUGACCGUAUUUUAGGAUGGUGUAUUAUAAUUAUAUUAUGAACUAUAAUUAUAUCGAUACUCUCUGAUACAGUACUAAAAACAAACAAAUAAACAAACAAACAAACAAACAAACAAACAAACAAGCAAGCAAAACAAGCAAACAAACAAAAUUAAUAAGAAAAGAGAAGGAAAAAAAUAUCGUGAGACGUCACGUUAAUAAACGACUCAUUAAAUUAUUAGAAUCUACCUAUGUAUGAGUAUAUCGCGCGUAAAUGUGCAAGAGCACCGAAACCGCAAUACAUUAAAUGCACACAUACACACUAAUACACACAUACAGAUACACGUCAGGUGUACACUUACACGUUAAAAGGGAGGUGUAGAGAGCAAGAGAGAGAGAGAGAGAGAGAGAGAGAGAGAGAGAGAGAGAGAGAGAGAGAGAGAGAGAGAGAGAGAGAGAGAGAGAGAAGCAAAAAAGAGAGGGAAAAAAGGUAAAGAGGAAGAAUGAGAAAAGAUGAAUAUGGGGGUUUAGAGAUGUGAGAAGUGGGAGGAAGGGGAGAAGCAAACACUAGUGUAUAUAUACAGGACCACACGGUACCACAGAUUCGUUAAUUUUUACAGUGUGACAAACACGAGCGUUCUUUAUAUAUUAUAUAUACAUAUAUAUAUAUAUAUUAUAUAUAGAAAUAAAAUGGCGAGGAGAGAUAUGGGAUUCGCUGCUCUGUCCUCUUGUUGACGCGCCCGACGGACCGCAACCGUUUGUGUUGUGCUCAUCGAUGAUAUAUAUAUACAUACAUAUUAUACAUAAGCGAGCUACGCGAACGCUGUCGUCUCUCAGGCGCACGAGCGGGAAGUGCAUAGUGUUUUUAAAAGACAAAAUAAAUGAAAAAUAAAUAAAAAAAAAAAAGAUAAAAAAAAUUUAAAAAAAAAAAUAAAAUAAAAUAUCUAAGUAUAAAAUAAUUGCAGCAAAACGAUAAAGUAUGUGUCCCAAGAUAAAAAAAACCCCCCGGAGCCCUUGUUGAUAUACGCCACCACGUUGAAUGACGAUAUCUUAUUUGUUACAGAGAGCAGUAAAAUACCACAAGCGAAACCGUUUUUAAAAUACAUUUGUUAUACAUGCAUAUUGUUAUCAUUACCACAUAAAAACAGAGAAGCAAUUAUUAACUCCAUAGCCUGGGCCAUUGUUAAGAUGAAGCGGCACGAGGUUUAAUAUCGCUCCUUGAAACUGGGUUGACCUUAUUUUCUUUUCGAUUUUUUCCUUUCUUUUCCCUUUCCCUUUUUUCUAUUUUUUCCCCCUCUCUUUUUCUCUUUUCUUUUCCUCUUUUUUUCAUUUCAUCCACAGACAACGUAACUCAUAUUCCUUGCCGUAUUAAAAAUUUUUCCAUCGUAAAUCUCAUUGAAAAUAUAACGUUGAUUAUUCUAAGUAUAUCCAUUUGAUUUACAGUCGUUAACAAUCUUCUUUUGUUGUAUUAUCUUUCAUCGGUUAGAACCCAGUAUCAAGAAGAGAAAUAUACAAAACAUGAGAGAGAGAGAGAGAGAGAGAGAGAGAGAGAGAGAGAGAGAGAGAAA